CUGCUUUGUACAACUACUUAAAGAUAAUUUUGAAAAAAGAAACAAGGAUUAGUAUGACCCCUGCUCAAUGGAUGACACACAAAUUUGUGAAGCGUUCCAUACUUUA
rnacentral:snRNA from 1 species